CCUACGGGAGGCAGCAGUGAGGAAUAUUGGUCAAUGGACGCAAGUCUGAACCAGCCAUGCCGCGUGCAGGAAGACGGCUCUAUGAGUUGUAAACUGCUUUUGUACGAGGGUCAACUCAGAUCCGUGUAUCUUUCUGAAAGUAUCGUACGACUAAGGAUCGGCUAACUCCGUGCCAGCAGCCGCGGUACUACGUAUGAUUCAAUCGUUAUCCGGAUUUAUUUGGUUUAAAGGGUGCGUCGGCGGUCGGAUAAGUUAGAGGUGCAAUCCCGAGGCUCAACGUCGGAAUUGCCUCUGAUACUGGUAGGCUAGAGAGUAGUUGCGGUAGGCGGAAUGUAUGGUGUAGCGGUGAAAUGAUUAGAGAUCAUACAGAACACCGAUUGCGAAGGCAGCUUAACAAGCUACGUCUGACGUUGAGGCACGAAAGCGUGGGGAGCAAACAGGAUUAGAGACCCGAGUAGUC
rnacentral:rRNA from 1 species